CACCAUGAUGGUAACUUUGCAACGUACUUGGCUUGUCUGAACUUCUGCCAUCAGACAAUCAGAGAUAUGAUCACUGAGUCUCCAUAGCAGUCUGUCAGGAUGAAAACAGGAGAUUGAGGCAGACGGCUUUCUGGAUUGAGCUCCGAUACAAAAAAAGAAAACAGGUUUUCUCUUUAAUUUCGUUCUGUAGGUCUGAAUGAGGGUGUUACUAGAAUCUCUGCAUUCUUGUUCAUUCUUCUUUCAGUGAUAAAAACUGAAGUCAAGAUAUGUUUUUAAGAAAGAGCGUCAUCAAGACAUCAUUCAGAUAAAGUUUUACUUGAAGUUCAGGAUCCAGAAUACAGUGUUUACCCAGAAGAGUCGACGAAAGGACGCUUUACUCUCAUACUCAUAUGCUGCUUCAUCUGUGUGUUUGCAGUGCUGAUAAACAAAGGUUGUCUGCAGGUCACAGUAGAGGCUGUUAUUGGCG